GAAAGGUGGUGGUUGAAAUGUGAUACGUAGACGGACUCCCUCCUGCGGCCCCCACCUCCGCAUCCGCCCUCGCCCCCAUUUUGGAGAUUUUAUUUCUUCGUUCCAACCACCAUUUUGGAGUUUGCUGAAACACUGAUGGAGAUCUUUAUACGACGCUUAGUGCGUGAUCGACUUUUCUCGUCCAAGUCAAGCUCCAUGAACAUCUCCAGAUUUCUAUUUAUUACUUCACCGUAUGAUGCUUUGAUCCAUGUAUUUCUCUUGAAGAUUCUCUGUUCUGACGAAUUUGCGGAGAAUCGGAGGCUUUUGGCUCUCGCAAAAAUUCUACUCAGUCUACGCUGUAUUAGGAUCUUUCAAUGGCCGCAGUACUGGCUUCCCAUGGCUGCUAUUGCUGCCAUGUUGAGUUAAGGGAACAAGGAAAAGCAAUAGAUGGUCUCAGUUUCCCCGGAUCAAUAUCUUCUCUGAAGCUUGAUAAACACACAAGGCUUGAGUAUGGUAUUCCUGCAAACAAUAGGUUUUUCAGGUUUCGAGUGAAAGCACAACAGACAGAAUCAUCCAGGAGGUUUGGUACUAAUGGACAAGCCGCUAAAAUGGAACCUACCAGGGAAGUAACAAAGCACAAGAGGUCUUCCAUAAAUAGGGGAGAGAUAGUGAAUGGCUCAAAACGAGUUAUUAACGGCACAAGCAUAGUUAAAAAAAACAAUGCUUCAGCUUUGGUCGAGGCACCAAAAAUCAGGGGCUCUAAAGAGCUUCGUUUUAUAGAGGAGCUGAAAGUUCUGCCCUCAGAUGAAGGUUUCAGUUGGGCCAAUGAAAAUUAUAGUUCCUGGCAUAGGACUAUAGAUGUGUGGUCGUUUGUUCUUUCUCUACGCAUUCGUGUUCUUUUAGACAAUGCAAAGUGGGCAUAUAUUGGAGGCUUCACAGAAGAUAAACGAAAAAGCAGAAGGCAAAGAACUGCCUUGUGGUUGCGAGAAUGUGUGCUCCAACUUGGUCCAACUUUUAUCAAACUUGGACAGCAGUGCUCAACCAGGUCUGAUCUAUUUCCACGAGAGUUUGUUGAUGAGCUCGCCAAGUUGCAGGAUAGAGUCCCCGCAUUUUCACCAGAGAAAGCUAGAGAUUUCAUAGAAAAAGAAUUGGGAGCCCCAAUUGAUGCAUUUUUCAAGAAGUUUGAAGAUAGGCCAAUUGCUGCGGCCAGUCUUGGUCAGGUGCAUCGAGCCAUUUUACAUAACGGAGAGAAGGUGGUUGUGAAAGUUCAGCGGCCCGGUCUGAAGAAACUUUUUGAUAUCGAUUUACGAAAUCUAAAACUAAUUGCCGAGUACUUUCAGAGAAGUGAAAAAUUUGGAGGUCCUACUAGGGAUUGGAUGGGUGUAUAUGAAGAAUGUGCCACGAUUUUGUAUCAAGAAAUUGAUUACAUAAAUGAGGGUAAAAAUGCUGAUCGGUUCCGCCGGGAUUUCCGAAACAUAAAGUGGGUUCGUGUACCUCUGGUGUUUUGGGAUUACACUGCCACGAAGGUAUUGACACUGGAGUAUGUUCCAGGCAUCAAAAUCAACAAUUUGGAUGUGAUAGGUGCGAGGGGCUAUGAUCGUUCUCAAAUUUCUUCACGUGCAAUUGAAGCAUAUUUAAUUCAGAUACUAAAAACUGGCUUCUUUCAUGCGGAUCCUCAUCCUGGAAAUAUUGCUAUUGAUGUGGAUGGAGCACUCAUUUACUAUGAUUUUGGCAUGAUGGGGGAGAUAAAAUCUUUCACUCAGGAAAGAUUGCUUAAUCUUUUCUAUUCAUUUUAUGAAAAGGAUGCAAAAAAGGUAAUGCAAAGCCUGAUAGAUCUUGAAGCACUACAGCCCACUGGAGACAUGUCAUCGGUGAGGAGGUCUGUGCAGUUUUUCAUGGACAAUUUACUAAGUCAGACACCAGAUCAGCAGCAAACUUUGGCCACAAUUGGUGAGGAUUUAUUUGCAAUAGCCACAGAUCAGCCUCUACGCUUCCCCUCCACAUUUACUUUUGUAAUGAGGGCUUUUACAACACUUGAAGGAAUUGGUUAUACGCUAGAUCCUGAUUUUUCCUUUGUGAAGAUUGCUGCACCGUAUGCGCAGGAGCUAUUAGAUUUAAAAGGGAAGCAGCGCUCUGGAACACAACUUGUGGAGGAGAUAAGCAGACAAGCCAAUGAUGCCAGAGCAUACACCAUGUCCAUGCCAUACAGAGUCCAGCGUAUAGAGGAAUUCGUGAAACAACUUGAGACAGGAGAUUUAAAACUCCGAGUGAGGGUACUUGAGUCAGAAAGAGCUGCUCGAAAGGCAGCUGUACUUCAAAUGGCCACUAUUUAUACAGUUUUUGGUGGGACCCUGCUAAGUAUUGGGAUCACAGUUAGCAGCCAAGGUAGCCAAGUAAUAGCGAAUGGAUCUUUCAUUGGAGCUGAAAAGUAGAAGGCAAAGAACUGCCUCAUGGUUGCGAGAAUGUGUGCUCCAACUUGGUCCAACUUUUAUCAAACUUGGACAGUUGUCCUCAACAAGGUCUGAUCUAUUUCCACGAGAGUUUGUGGACGAGCUUGCCAAGUUGCAGGAUAGAGUCCCUGCGUUUUCACCAGAGAAAGCUAGAGGUUUCAUAGAAAGAGAAUUGGGAGCCCCAAUUGAUGCAUUUUUCAAGAAGUUUGAAGAUAGGCCAAUUGCUGCAGCCAGUCUUGGUCAGGUGUUUGCUCCAAUUUUAAUACCAUAUACUUAACAUGAAGAAAUUUUCCUUUUGGCACUUUCAUACUUAUAAACUUUGAAAAUAUUGUAUCCUUGUUAUAUGCGUCAAGGACUCGACUCUGUUGCUUAAUUGGUUGUUGAAUAGAAUUGAAACCAAAGGAUUACAUUUUUUAAUCUAGCUUACCCAUUUAAUAUAUAU